rnacentral:lncRNA from 1 species
AAAGAUGACAUGUGGCAUAAAAUAAAGUUUUACAUUUUAAUAUUACUUAUUUUCGAAAAUUGUAAAAAAUAUGUAAACAUACAGCAUAAAAAAUGAAAAAACUACAUUAAACAUAUGUAAGAUUAUUAUUUUUCACUUAAAAAAAGACGGCUUAUCUCCAUAAUGUAACAUUACCGUUUUAUGGCGUCCACAUCAGCGGAAAAAAUUUCUGCCGAAAUAUGACAUGUGGCAUAAAAUAAAGUUUUACAUUUUAAUAUUACUUAUUUUCAAAAAUUGUAAAAAAUAUGUAAACAUAGAACAUAAAAAAUGAAAAAACUACAUUAAACAUAUGUAAGAUUAUUAUUUUUCACUUAAAAAAAAAGACGGCUUAUCUCCAUAAUGUAACAUUACCGUUUUAUAAAAAAACAAAAAAAAUUAUAUAUAAUUUCGAAAAUAAUAAAUAUAUGUAAAACAUACAACAUAAAAAUUGAAAUACUACAUUAAACAUAUUUGUCUAAGUUCUUCUAUUAAACAUUGCCGUUUUACAUUAAAAAUGGAAAAAUACAUAAAUAUUUAAACAUCUAUCUUAAAAUAUAAAAUAUAGACAUUAACUAAAUAUAAAGUAUAAGAAAGAUAAAUACUCAAUAUAUAUAAAAAUAAAUAAUAAGUAAAUAUUAUAAAUAUACGAAUUAUAUAUACAAUAAUAAGUAAAUGCACAAUUUUAAAAAAAUGGAAAGAGUACAUUAAAUAUUAAACAUCUAUCUUAAAUGUAAAAUAUAGAUAUUAAGUAAAUAGAAAGUAUAAGAAAAAGAAAUACACAACUUAAAAACAAUGGAAAAAGUAUAUUAAGAUUUAAACUUCUCAUAAAAAUGGAAAAACUACAUUAAACAUAUGUAAGAUUACCAUUUUUCACUAAAAAAAAGACGGCUUAUCUCCAUAAUGUAACAUUA